rnacentral:rRNA from 1 species
AGAGAGAGACAUGCGCGCAUAUCAAUAAGCGGAGGAAAAGAAACUAACAAGGAUUCCCCUAGUAACGGCGAGUGAAGCGGGAAGAGCUCAAAUUUGAAAUCUUAAAGGGUUUCCCUUUACGAAUUGUAGUUUAAAGAAGUGUUUUCUGUUGAGGUUUUGGUAAAAGUUCUUUGGAAUAGGACAUCAUAGAGGGUGAGAAUCCCGUAUUUGACCUUUACUUUCAACUUUGUGAUACACUUUCAAAGAGUCGGAUUGUUUGGGAAUGCAGUCCAAAAUGGGUGGUAAAUUUCAUCUAAAGCUAAAUAUUGGCGAGAGACCGAUAGCGAACAAGUACCGUGAGGGAAAGAUGAAAAGAACUUUGAAAAGAGAGUUAAACAGUACGUGAAAUUGUCAAAAGGGAAGCGUUUGACACCAGUGUUGUUUUUCUGAAAAUCAAUUAAAGAACUGUUUAUGCUAAGCUUGUUUAGACUUUAUCAGCUAUCUGUUUAGUUUUGAGCUUUUCUUUAAUGCACUUUUCAGUUAACAAGUCAACAUCAGUUUCUUUUGCUGUAUAAAAGCUUGAGGAAGGUGGCUUGAGAUUCGUCUUAAGUGUUUAUAGCCUCUUGCCUAUGCAGUCGGAGAGAUUGAGGUCUGCAGCGUAGAUCCUUCGGGGCUAAAUGCAUUUGUGCUAAGUUAUAGCAUUUUAUAGACAACUUGUUGACUAUGAUUUGUCUUGUAGCUUACUCGCUUAUGUUAUUUUACCUACGCUUAGGAUGUUGAGCGCAUGUCUCUCUCU